rnacentral:lncRNA from 2 species
AUGAUCACACAGUUGAGUACUGCCGAGACCCCGUUGUCUGUGCAGCUUGCCGUGGCAUGGGGCACCGCCAGUCCGAUUGCCAUGCCUCACUCUCGCCGGGGCAAAUCCCCACGAAUUCCCGUACCACCCAUCCCCUCCAACCAACAACUCGCCCACCCAUCUUCCAAAGCCGCUGGAUCAAAAAAUCCUGCGCCACCACCGCUCCGCCUGCAACACCACUUCCAAAAAAAACCCUAUCCUAGCUCGCUUCACUCAGUCAAGAUGGAGAGUGCGACUGCUCAAGUGCUCAGUGGAGAAGAUGCUGUUCCGGCUGCAACUUUUGCUGCUGACAUGCUGGCUGGGGACCAGACUCCUGCUAGCGAGGGGCAAGAUGGAGGUCUGAACUACUGGGAUAAUGAGGUAUCUUUUGAUCUGGAACAACUGUUUGCCUCUGCUCCUUUGCCCCACCCAUGUCUGGCUAUUCUGGCGGCUCACCGCACCGCGGUUGCUGGUCCGUCUAGACUGAAGGGGAAAUCCCCCCUGUCGAUUGUUGGUGCUGCUCUGCCAGUCAUUAGUGAACUAGAUGAGGUGAAGGACAUCUUUGUGUGUGAGUCGGGUACUGCAAGCCGACCUGCUCGUGUCCCUGUUGUCUCUUUCAACAGUAGGUCCCCCCCUCCACCUGCAUCGAGGAGGGCUCGCUUACCUCACCUGGGGUCGGGUGGGUCUCGUCCAGCUGGGACACCGAGCAGCUCUUCCUCAAUAGAGGUUGAGUCAGAUGAUAUUUCCUCAGCCGACAGCCCGCAGACAGGCCAGCUCAACCAGUUUCUUUCUCAGCUCAAUCCAGCUUUUGCAGAACUGCUUCGCAUGUACCCUCUCCACUAUGACGUGUUUGCUCCCUAUGCUGACAUGCGGAUUACUGCUCACUAUGCAUCUGCGUUCCUGUACCCUGCGGCUUCAGAACCGUCGCGUGUGAUCUGGGAAGCAAUGAGAGAGUACCUCCCUCACAUUCACUUCUCCUUGAACCCUGCUAGGAGGGGAGCUAUGUUUGUCAGAUUUAGUACUCCUAAGGAUCGGGAUGCUGCGGUGGAUUUCCCUGGGACCAUGAUGGCAGAAGGGCACAUCCUUGUCCUGGAGAAGCCUGAGGACAAUGAAACCCGCUUUCACCAACUGCUUGACAAGUUAACUGAGUUGGAAGUUCUGGAUUGGCCCCCUGAACACCGCAUUCCAGGCCGUAUCAAAAACCUGUUCAUUGGGGUUGCUUUUGUGAUUGAAAUCGAUGAUGAAUGUGUAUAUGGGGACGACAUGUCGUUCCUCUGUCUGGUUGUCCAACAAUACCCGGGCCAGCCGGUCCUUCCAGCUAUGUUUGUGUGGCUUCGAAAUGGUGAUAUUGCUGUGGCAAAAAUCAAGAUCAUCAGGACAUGGGACGCGAGUCAGAACUUCGAUGACAAUGGCACAUACACACACCACUUCCCAGUCCUUGUUGUCCCUAACCCGGGAUGCCAUUUCUCUCAAGCCCCACUACCGCCGCCUCCAAUCAAUCCUGGUCAGCCCCAGAAUCAGAAUCAGAAUGCGGGAGGGGGGACACAGAACAAUCUCCAAUAUGACUUUGUUGUUCCGCUUACAGCUCCUCCUCCUCAGUUUGAAGAGAACCUGCAUAGUUCAGUUCAUAUCACAGAGUUGGUGGAUGAUCCAGUGAUCGGGCACUUGAAAGACUUAUCACUGCCGACUCUGACUGAACAUCUCCCUCAUGAAGACACUGAACCAGAUCAGACCUACUCAGUCAGGAAAGCCAAAGGCGACAAGAAGCGAGCCAAUGAGGAGAUUGAAGCAGCUCGCUUUCAGACUGUUGCUGGGAAGGCUGCCAGACUGAAGUUGAAGGAACAACUCUCCAAGUGCUCUGUCAAGCUGAACCAGGUGGUGGCUAAGCAUAAGCUACUUGAUUGGGACUCUGCAACCACCCCUGAAGCGCUCAAAGAUCUGGCUGUCACUUGUGGCCUAGAUGACCAUGAUGUUGCUCAGCUCAACAAGGCCUCUGUCGCCGGCGGAACUUACUCUCAGGCAGCUUGUUCAGAGAAGUUCACCUCUUUACAGCUUCAAAAAGCAGCGUACUGGAAGCAACGUGGGAAGAUCAGAAGGAUUAAGCUAGGGAUUGAUAACACUAAUUUCUUCAAAGCCCAUGCGUCCAACAAUCAUCGCAAAACUUAUGUACGCUUGAUUAAAGUUCAGGGUGUCGAAUUCUCUAAUCAUGCUGCUAAGGCGUCGAUCAUGCAUGAUUAUUACAGUGCAAUUCUA